UGGGAAAGACGACCUUUUGAGCUUGACUUUAGUCUGGCAUUGUAAGGAAACAUAAGAGGUGUAGCAUAAGUGGGAGAUAAUGAAAUUUUUUCAUAAAUUUUUUUAUCAAAAAUGAAAUACCACUACUCUUAUUGUUUCCUUACUUACUUGAUAAAGUGGAACGUGUAUCAUUUACUUAGCUAUUACACGGAUAUUAAUUUAUAUUUUUAUAUAUUUUGUAUUUUAUGGUAUUUUGUUUUGAUACAAGCUUCUUGAUCAAAAUACAAAGAGUUUGUUAUAUACACCAAACAAAUAUUUGAUGAAUUUUUUAUAUAUGGAAUUUUGUUUUUUACUUUAAACUCUUUAGAAUAUACUUAUGGGAAAUUAUUGAAUUUUGGUAUAACUUUUACACUCUAGUAUAAUCCAUUUUAAGGACAAUGCUAGGUCGAAAGUUCGUCUGGGGCGGAACAUCUCUCAAAUAAUAACGGAGGUGUCCCAAAGCCAGCUCAGUGCGGACAGAAACCACACAUAGAGCAAAAGGGCAAAUGCUGACUUGAUCUCAGUAUUCAGUACAUACGGAGAAUGCAAAAGCACGGCCUAUCGAUCCUUUUGGUAUAAUGAGUUUUUAUUAAGAGGUGUCAGAAAAGUUACCAUAGGGAUAAGUGCCUUGUGGCGCCAAGCGUUCAUG
rnacentral:rRNA from 1 species